UACGUAGGGGGCAAGCGUUAUCCGGAUUCACUGGGUGUAAAGGGAGCGUAGGCGGCAGGGCAAGCCUGAUGUGAAAGGCCAGGGCUCAACCCUGGGACUGCAUUGGAAACUGUUUAACUGGAGUGUCGGAGAGGCAAGUGGAAUUCCUAGUGUAGCGGUGAAAUGCGUAGAUAUUAGGAGGAACACCAGUGGCGAAGGCGGCCUGCUGGACGACAACUGACGGUGAGGCGCGAAAGCGUGGGGAGCAAACAGG
rnacentral:rRNA from 1 species